rnacentral:tRNA from 1 species
GGGAUUGUGGCUCAGUGGUAGAGCGCUUGCCUGGCACGUGUGAGGCUCUGGGUUUGAUCCUCAGCAUCACA